rnacentral:tRNA from 1 species
AGACUUAGGAUAACUAAGACCAAGGGCCUUCAAAGCC